UGAGGAACAUUGCGCAAUGGGGGCAACCCUGACGCAGCAACGCCGCGUGAGUGAGGAAGGUUUUUCGGACUGUAAAGCUCUGUCGAGCGGGAAGAAGUGUACCAUGGCUAAUAUCCAUGAUAUUUGACGGUACCGCUAGAGGAAGCACCGGCUAACUCCGUGCCAGCAGCCGCGGUAAUACGGGGGGUGCAAGCGUUGUUCGGAAUUAUUGGGCGUAAAGAGCGUGUAGGCGGCUGAGCAAGUCAGAUGUGAAAGCCCCGGGGCUUAACCCGGGGAAGUGCAUUUGAAACUGUUCGGCUUGAGUAGGGGAGAGGAAAGUGGAAUUCCGUGGUGUAGAGGUGAAAUUUCGAGAUAUCAGGAGGAACACGGCGGCGAAGGCGACUUUCUGGCCCUAUACGUG
rnacentral:rRNA from 1 species